rnacentral:lncRNA from 1 species
CCUAUAGUCCUAUACGAGUGUUGUAUCUUAUCCAAUAGUCUAGUAUCGUAUUGUAUUGUAUCGUAUCAUAUCGUAUCGUAUCGUAUAGUGUAGUAUAAAUCUCGUAUAGGCAUUGUAUGGGCCUAUGGAUGUGGUAUCGUAUCCUAUAGUAUCGUGUUGUAUCGCAUCGUAUCGUAUAGUAUAGUGUAGUAUAAGUCUCGUAUAGGUCUUGUAUAAGCCUAUCGUGUUGUAUCGUAUCGUAUAGUAUAGUAUAAGUCUCGUAUAGACCUAUAUGGGACCUAUACGAGACUUAUACUAUACACUAUACGAUACAAUACGAUACCAUACUAUACGAUACAAUACGAUACUAUCGUAUCAUAUAGUGUAGUAUAGGUCCCUUAUAGGUCUUGUAUAGGCCUAUCGACGUAUACGGGCGUUGUAUCGUAUCGUAUAGUGUAUAGUAUAAGUCUAGUAUAUGGCCCCUAUAGGUCUUGUAUAAGCCUAUAGGCCUAAACGGGACCUAAACCACACCUAUAGUCCUAUACGAGUGUUGUAUCUUAUCCAAUAGUCUAGUAUCGUAUUGUAUUGUAUCGUAUCAUAUCGUAUCGUAUCGUAUAGUGUAGUAUAAAUCUCGUAUAGGCAUUGUAUGGGCCUAUGGAUGUGUAUAGUGUAGUAUAAGUCUCGUAUAGGUCUUGUAUAAGCCUAUCGUGUU